AAUAUUGCACAAUGGAGGAAACUCUGAUGCAGCGACGCCGCGUGAACGAUGAAGGCUNNNGAGUCNUCAAGUUCUGUCCUAGGNGACNAUAAUGACGGUACCCUAGGAGCAAGCCCCGGCUAACUACGUGCCAGCAGCCGCGGUAAUACGUAGGGGGCAAGCGUUGUCCGGAUUUAUUGGGCGUAAAGGGUUCGCAGGCGGCCUUUUAAGUCAGAUGUGAAAGCCCACGGCUCAACCGUGGUAAGCAUUUGAAACUGGAAGGCUUGAGUUAAGGAGAGGAAAGUGGAAUUCCUAGUGUAGCGGUGAAAUGCGUAGAUAUUAGGAGGAAUACCAGUGGCGAAGGCGACUUUCUGGACUUAUACUGACGCUGAGGAACGAAAGCGUGGGGAGCAAACAGG
rnacentral:rRNA from 1 species